UACGAAGGGGGCUAGCGUUGCUCGGAAUCACUGGGCGUAAAGCGCACGUAGGCGGAUUGUUAAGUCAGGGGUGAAAUCCUGGAGCUCAACUCCAGAACUGCCUUCGAUACUGGCGAUCUCGAGUUCGGGAGAGGUGAGUGGAACUGCGAGUGUAGAGGUGAAAUUCGUAGAUAUUCGCAAGAACACCAGUGGCGAAGGCGGCUCACUGGCCCGAUACUGACGCUGAGGUGCGAAAGCGUGGGGAGCAAACAGG
rnacentral:rRNA from 1 species